GCCCUUAUAGCUUAAUGGUAGAGUAUCAGUCUUGUAAACUGAAGGUUCGUAGUUCAAUCCGGCGUGGGGGCA